rnacentral:lncRNA from 10 species
AGCUUCUCAGCCUCUCUUCUCUGUUCACUUCCUGCUCAUGGGACUCCUGCCUCUCCUGGGCUUGGCCGCUCCUGUCUUGGCAAGCCCCAGACCCUGCCUUGGAUUUCUUUCUGGCCUCCAAGUGGGCGCUUGGCUCCUGGCACCUGGCAGCCUUGGCUGUCUCCCCAGCCCCACUGUCCUGCCUCUCUGCUUGGGACCCAUGGGAGCUGCCAUCUCCCCAGCCCCAGGUCUGUUCUACAGCUGAGCUCCCCACUUCAUGUCUUCUGUCAUCUCCAGGCCCUCUCAGCCUUCCAGCCCCCUCGUUUUGGCUGCCUCUAAGGCCCUCCAGGUCCUCCUGGGCUUCCUCCUCUACAAUCUUCCCUGUCUUUCCCACCGCCACCACCCCCAGUUCCUCAGCCGCCUGCGCCUCCCGCUCUACAGUGGGGACUGCAUCUCCCAGGAGCCUCCCGAGUAGCUGGGAUUACAGGUGAUCUGCCCACCUUGGCCUCCCAAAGUGCUGGGAUGACAGGCAUGAGCCACCACACCCAGACGAG